rnacentral:rRNA from 1 species
AUUGAACGCUGGCGGCAUGCCUUACACAUGCAAGUCGAACGGCAGCGCGGGAGCAAUCCUGGCGGCGAGUGGCGAACGGGUGAGUAAUAUAUCGGAACGUGCCCUAGAGUGGGGGAUAACUAGUCGAAAGAUUAGCUAAUACCGCAUAUGCUCUACGGAUGAAAGUGGGGGAUCGCAAGACCUCAUGCUCGUGGAGCGGCCGAUAUCUGAUUAGCUAGUUGGUAGGGUAAAAGCCUACCAAGGCCACGAUCAGUAGCUGGUCUGAGAGGACGACCAGCCACACUGGGACUGAGACACGGCCCAGACUCCUACGGGAGGCAGCAGUGGGGAAUUUUGGACAAUGGGGGAAACCCUGAUCCAGCAAUGCCGCGUGUGUGAAGAAGGCCUUCGGGUUGUAAAGCACUUUUGUCCGGAACGAAACGGGCCGAGCUAAUAUCUUGGCCUAAUGACGGUACCGGAAGAAUAAGCACCGGCUAACUACGUGCCAGCAGCCGCUGUAA